UCGUUUCUCUACCGAUUUCGCCGUCGCCUUCAUCAAAUUCUCUACCGAUUUCGCCAUCGCCUCCGUCGAUUUCUCAGCCGAGGUCCCGUCGUCGUGUCUCCAUCAUGAUUUUUCUCAAUUUGGUUUCGUUUAUGUACAUAAAUCAAAUACCCAGGUUUGCAUUUGAGAAAUUCCCAGGAUCUCAACCGGUGUUGACAACCCAGAUGAAGUCUGUUGGUGAAUCCAUGGCAGUAGGGUACACGUUUCAAGAAUCUUUUCCAAGGCAGUCAGAUCACUCGAGUGUGGCUUCUCUGGUUGGGGUUGUGCACCAAUCAAGGAACUGGACUGGGAUUGGGACAAGUUGAAAUACAGGUGCAAUUUUCUUGCAGUGAAUGUAAAAUACACUUGACUUAUGUCUUCCAUGCAGCUUAUAUUACAUUGUAAAGGAGGAUAUCUGAGACCUGGUAAUAUUUUUAGCUCUCCUGUGUUUGUUAUGUUUUAGUUAUAUGAUCAAUGUUUUUACAUCAUCUUUCAAUUGUAUGAGUUCAAACUAUAUUCCCUGAUAAAACAUCGGUGGUGAAAUUGGUGAUUUCUACUCUAAAUUGCUAAGAACUAUGAUAAGAAGGUCUUGUACUUGGGAGAAAGGAAACCAAGGAAACCAAGUUUCUGUUAUGGUCAUGAAAAUAGGUUAUUGGAACACUCCAUCUAUAUGAAACCCAAGGACAAAGAAUGUGAGGCAAAACCUUUCAUUCUAACCCUUCUCAAUAAAGUAACUUCAGCCAGACAUCCCAAAUUGAAUAGGAGCCAGGAUACAGCCAUAACUUAUUUUCAACCGCUUAGCUUCCACACACCAUCCUGCCAUGUUCUUGAUUAAACUUGUACAUCCCUCUUGCUCUGACUAGCAACAGCUCUCCCUCUACUUAUAGGACUAGUGUGGCUCAUUUCUCAAUGAUCUUGGACAAGGGAAACCUUGCUGUAAUGUUUAAAACAAAAUAAAUAUUGGGACUUGACCCGCCUUAGAAUUUGAUCAAAUUCAGUGUUCAAGCUAGAAGCAUAUAUUGCAAUUUUCUGUAUAUGGUCUUCCUGUAAGCCUCUUACUGGCAUAUUAGAAAAACUUAUCAUCCUACUUGAUUCUUGCUAAACCAAUUGCUAUCUGCAUGACCCUUUAAUUAAUCUCUUGCGAACGCACUCUGAUGCAUAUUUUAUUUUGUUUCUAAAAAAAGGAUAUAGGCAGCAGGCUUAAUCACGCUUUGCUCCAUCCUUAGUGGUGUGUUGCUACAUUCAAGUAGAGGAAUGACUUCUAUGGUGCCACUAAAACAUUAAGGUUUCAGUUUAUCGUUGCUUACCUCCUUCCUAUUCAUUUUAUUUAAAACUUUUUUGACCAUGGAGACAUUUCUACAAAAGGUGGUCAAGGAGUUGCAUAUUAACAAAAACCUGACCUUUCUUGCCGUAGCUUUUUGGUGCUCAAGGAGUUGUACUCGCCUAUGUCUAUGUGUGUGUGUUAGGUUAUUGGAGACUUGCAACACCUUUCAGUCUUUAUAUUUUUACCCCCUGUAUUUUUACCUUUCAUGUUGUUUGUGGAUUGUUUUGGUUAUGGUUCAAAUUUAUACUUCAUGGAAUAUUUCAUGUCGUUUGCUCGUUAUUGUCAGAUUAGUCUAUGUUCAAGACCAAGUUUUUCAUCCUCAUUAACUGUUCAAGACCAACUUUCGGAGACUCAAGAUCGUUAAACAUGCUAUGA